GAAAAAAGGUCGAAGGAAUAGAAGGAUCUAUAUGCAAUAUUCCCUCUGAUUGUCCGCCGCCGCAUUUCCGAAGACCACUCCGGCGAUGGCUAUGCCACCGCGCAGCUCUGGGCCGUUCCGAACAAGGAAGGGGGCGAAAACGCGGCCGAGGAAGGCGAAAGCGGCGGCGCAGCUGGUAUGCCAUGCCAACUGUCAUGAUAUAGUAAGCAAAUAGAGGCCUUGAGAUCCCAGAGAUUGCUGCUGCUGUGGAGCCCACCAGAACCUUUCCUGGCACCAGUUUAAAAGUUCCGAGGAAUAUCCUGUUGAAAGCAGACGUUCUCUUUCUGAUCCCUUGCUUCAAUUGCUUUGAGCGGCUUUUGCUUGGCUGAAGGUCUGAAGAUCCGGCGCGGCGUUUGAGAGAUAUCUGAAAUUGCAGAUAAAAACAUCAGCUGGAGCGACAUCACGUGAUCUUCUAGUUACUGCCAAUGCUCCAAUAUAGAUGGUCAAUGAGUAUGAACAGAAGGUUGCAAUCUGUAACAUUCCCAAACCUAGUCCUUUUGUAAUUGCCUCUUUCUUGCCUAGCUUGUAUUGCUUGUCCAUGCAUUUGAUGAAGGAUUUCAUCGCCGAGUUUUCUCCAACAAAUGAGAAGACGGUCUUGAUAUGUGAAAUAGUCUGUGCAUAGAUUGUAUUGAUAUGCUAAAAAAUUAGUAUGGCACUAACAAAUUUAAUAUGGCAGAGGCUUAGCUCUAACAAGGCAUGCAUUUACGUAGUUACCUGUUCUACAACUGAGGUUGUUUCAGAGACCAAAGCUAUCCUUGUCGUCGACAUGCCAACCAUCAUUUUCGCAUAUGUUGCUCCAACCACGAGGAGCAUCGGAACUACCAAAAAUGCCAUCAUACCCACCUCCCAGCAACACACAAAGGCAAUAAUGACAGCAACUAAGAAUGUGGAGAAGUUGGACAUAAAGUGACCCAUCUGAAGGGAAAAAAGCCAUGAUAGUCGCAGUGGUUAAGUCAGUGUCAAAAGCUCCGAUAUCUUGACUGAGCACUGAUGUCAGAUAUGCCAUCUGCAUGCCUGUCAUUUGUCUUUGACUUGUAUACAUCCAGCACGCGAUUUCUGUGGCAGGAGCAUUGUGACAAAAAAGCGAGGAUCAGGGGAAUGACCAGGAAGGAGAGCAUCGCGACUUCCCAGCAGCUGGCAAAUGCAAUUAUCAUGCCAGCAAAGAAAGUGGAGAAGCUUGCGACGAAAUGACCGAGCUGCAGAAAAUUGAUCUCAGAUGCAACUUCUCCACAGAACUUUAGAAAUCAUACAGUUAAUGUUCGUGGUCAAGUCUGUGUCGAAGGCCCCAACCUCUUGAUUGAGAACUGAUCUCAGAUAUUCCAGCCGCAUGCGCGCUAACUGCCUCUCACUCGAGUAUAUCCAGCAGGAGAUCUCUGCAGCCAGGUUAUCAGGGGAAAUAUUUGAGCCCUACAAACCGGAAAGGAGGGAGUACAACCCAAGUUCAGGAGGGUAAUAUGUGCAUGCAUACUUACCUUGUACAAUGCAUGGACCAUGGCCUCCUGAUCAUUUAUGUUGGUUCCAAAGGCAUCAAGCGCUUUCCCGAGAAGGAGAUAUCCGAUCGGGAAUGCCAUGCCAUGGAUGGCAGACCCGACGGUUCCCAAGGCCAUGAGGAGCCAGUCCACCUUAUCGGCGUAGCAGAGCAGCCCGAAGAACGGGAAUGGCUUCUCAUCAGCACUAGCUGCUGGGAUGGUGCUCCUCCUGUCAUCCGUGUCAUCAUGCUGAGAUGAUGAAAUGGAGUGGUCUUCAUCAUAGGCUGUGGCCAUUGUUUCCGGUGGUCUUGGUUGCGCUUUUGCAGCAGGGAACCAUGGAAGAGGAGGUGCAUAGAUGGUAUGGUAUUAUAGGCGUAGGUGUUGCAUACCGGGGUGCAUGUUUACAUGUAGAUGCUGACAAACAUGUUUCCAAAAAUGGUGUGAAACAAUAACCGUAGGUACUCCCAAGGUUGAAAACAAACUAUGCCGAGUUGGUCAAGGUAUACGUUAGCAUAUUACAUCGAUUUUAUGUAGCGGUGUUUUGCUUUAAUUUUGACAAGGCUCAGCGUGCUGCCAGGUUCAUUUUUCGCUGGAGAAUGAACGGCUUGAAAUAACAUGGCUGUUGGUUGUGUUGGAAUAGAGAAAGUAUGUGAUACGUUAAUGA